GUGUCCUCGCUGCCAGCGGGGCCGCCUGCUGGACCAGCGGUAGGAGCAGCACCUGCGGGGGCGCCGGCGGGAUAUGGGUCAGGCGGGCACGGGUUCGGCCCGGGGGCGUAUAGCGGCGGCGGUGGGGGGCGGGGGGCAUAUAGCAGCGCCAGCGCGGCGCCGCCGAGUGUGGUGGUGGUUGCGCGGUCGGAAGGUUAUGGGGUCAGGUCGUGGGCGGACCGAGAGCGGGAGGAGCGGGAGAAACGAGCGCCGGGCGGGUGGGGGUACUAAGGUUGGGGUAAAGCAGGAUGUCUUGUGUGCGCCAGCAGCCCAUUCGGCAGCAGUCAUGUCAGUCAUGUGGUUGGUGACUCGGUGUGGGUUGUGAGUGGCCUUCGAACGGGCGUGACUGGAACACGAGUCACGUCCUUGGCAUUGGGUUGUGGCUCUCGGAGGGGCGUGAUUGGAACGCGAGUGGGCACAGGUUGGGUGAUGUUUGGUCAUGCGCUUGACCGAUCCGUGAACGAGAGACGGCCGUGAGCCAGAUAGUCAGAGAGCAAAGGUAGGUUUCGCGAUAUGUUGGACGCAGGUGGCAAGGCAGGUGGUGAGCUACUGGUUUGAUUUUGUGGUGUGAGAGCCGCCUCACCCCGCUUAGCACGUGCUUGAGUGCUGUGCUGUGCUGCAGUAGGGUCAUAGGGUGUGCUACCGGUGUUACUUUUGUGUGACGGUGCUUGGCUGCCGUAGCGGCAUGGACACACAGGGGCCGAAAGGGACAGGUUGGUUGCACAGAGUAGAGUAGAUCAAGCCAAGUGGUCGGGAGUACAGCGCGCAAUGCACGCACUGACGCAUCAAAUGCCCAGAGGCGUAGUGUAUCCAGCUGCAGUGGAGUGUGCAGCAAGGGAGUACGGUAGUGGUGUGUAGGAUGAGCGACGCACCGUUCGCGUCGACCAGGCUCGUGUGGCCUAUAUGGCUGCUUAGCGGGCGAGACACAAUUCAGAAACACUAGCUGACAGCGUGAGAAGACCAUUCGUUUUAAGGCCCCUGUGUGGGCAGAGGGAUGCAGGCGCUCUGGAUUUCGCGACGACCCCGGGCACAGGAUUUCGCCCGGCAAAAUCCCGCUGUCUUCAGUACAAAGGGGGAUUUCUGGCGGGGACAGCGGGAUACCUCGGGUGGGGUCACCCGCGGAAGCGGGAUUCGGCGCUGGGGGGCACCGCAGGCAGCGGGAUUCGGCGCCGGGGGGCACCGCAGGCAGCGGGAUUCGGCGCCGGGGGGCACCCCACACAGCGGGAUUUGACGCCUGGGGGCAUCCUCGGGAGCGGGAUAUUGCAGAUGUCGGCACCCGGGGAAGCUUGAUAGGAAGUGCGUGGUAGCGGGGUUCGUUGUGCGUGCAGGGCGCAGGGCGGUGCGCGUGGCAGCUCGGGCAAGGCAGCCCACGCAUCCCCGUUAACCAUAGACUGCCUCUUGAUGCUUUCAGUACAUGUAUACGCAUAAAGAUAUACCUGUUUCAUCCCCAUCACUCCUACAGCGGCCUUCCAAAUGUUGGGGCUUUCAAGCGAUCCUUUCUUCUGCGUUGGCUUUAGCACAGGAGAAGCCGCGAACAUGCAUAUAGUGUACAUGGUUUGCUGCCUGGGCCGCAAGCGCUGGCUAAGCUACCUCCAGCGCUGUUGGUGCCAGCCAGGAGCCAUUGGCUCCUUAUCCCCACCUAGCACCAAAGCGCUGGCGUGAAGUAGAUUUAGAUAACAAAGCCGCAGCUGUACCCCUUUUAGCAUCGAGGCACACUAAAAUACCGCGACGGAGAUACUGGGCUGAGCCAGUUCCUGAGCGCCUGAACAGUGCCCGGAAACACGCGUGACCCUGCUGCCACAACAAAAGUUUACUGUGGGAAUGCGACUAAGCUUAGGGAGCUGUCACAUCAAGUUCCCCGCCCUCCCUGCUUCAUUCGCUCGCUCGCUGAUCGGGACUAUGCGUGCUCAUGCCCUCCGUGAUACCUGCCCUGAUAUGAUGGAGACUGCCUUGUGUCUGUAGGUGGGGAAGGUGGUAGGACUAGGGGUGUAGGCCAAGGGGAAGGGGUGAUAGGGCGGGUGACGGCGCCUGAGAAUGCUGAGAUGCUCGUGGGCCCGGGUCGAGCAUACAGCGUGGACAGGCAAAGCCAUAGGGCCCAGCCAAGUAGGGCAGCUGGCUCGGGCAGGUGCGGAUUUGGCUGCGCCAGAUGGGGGAUUUGGCUGGGGCAGCUGGGGAUUUCGCGGGGGGAGGUUGGGAUUUGGCCGGGCCAGGUAGGGGAUU
rnacentral:lncRNA from 1 species